rnacentral:rRNA from 1 species
GACGAACGCUGGCGGCGUGCUUAACACAUGCAAGUCGAACGGAAAGGCCCUGCGUUUGUUCGGUGCUCGAGUGGCGAACGGGUGAGUAACACGUGAGUAACCUGCCCUUGACUUUCGGAUAACUUCAGGAAACUGGGGCUAAUACCGUAUAGGAGCUCCUGCUCCAUGUGGGGGGUUGGAAAGUUUCGGCGGUUGGGGAUGUAUUCGCGGCUUAUCAGCUUGUUGGUGGGGUAGUGGCUUACCAAGGCUUUGACGGGUAGCCGGCCUGAGAGCGUGAACGGCGACAUGGGGACUAAGGGACGGACCAGACUGCAAUGGGAGGCAGUAGGCGGGAAUAUGGCACAGUGAGCGGGAGCGUGAUGCAGAGGCCCCGCGUGCGUGAUGACCGUCUUUGGGUUAUAAACAGCUUUAGCAUGUGACGAAGCGUGAGUGACGGUAAUGAGUAAAGAAGCACCGGCUAACUACGUG